UUUCUGAAUGAGUGAAGAGUGUAAGAAGGUGUCAAAUAUCCACAAGCCCCGAGCACAUUUACUUAUCACACAGAACUGUUUCUUCUUUUGUGUAUUUCCUUGGCACUACUUUUAUUUUUUAACUAAACUUUUUAGUUUUUCUUUGCCACAUAGUUUUGUGAAUGAUAAUGUGAGAAACUAUAAAUUUAGUCAAAGUAUCCUGCCUGCACCUCUUUAAUAAUCACCAACUUCUUACCAUUGACUCACUUAUAACCGUUUCCAGAUUUAUGGAGGAUGAAGACCUAUCGUACCAAUGUGGCAGUUGAAAAGUGAAUUGCAACACAAUGAGAUAUAUUCACAUUAGGAGAGGAGCAGUACCUGUGCAUUCAGAACUGGAACUGCAGGUGUACCAUUACUGUUGAUAGAGGCAUCUCCUGCCGCGGUCCACCCAGCCUGAGCUGCCAGCCUGCCUAGCUUCUGCAAAGCCCCGAGUUGUCAUGGCAACCACUUCCUGAGACUUGAUACUCAUGCCUGCAGACUCUGGGUCCUGACUUAAAUAGUUUUAUUUUUUUUAAAAAGGCAUAAAUUGAUAGUGCAAUAAAAUCUGGUUUAAAGAUUG
rnacentral:lncRNA from 1 species